CGGCCGCAAGGUUAAAACUCAAAUGAAUUGACGGGGGCCCGCACAAGCGGUGGAGCAUGUGGUUUAAUUCGAUGCAACGCGAAGAACCUUACCUACUCUUGACAUCCAGCGAACUUUCCAGAGAUGGAUUGGUGCCUUCGGGAACGCUGAGACAGGUGCUGCAUGGCUGUCGUCAGCUCGUGUUGUGAAAUGUUGGGUUAAGUCCCGCAACGAGCGCAACCCUUAUCCUUUGUUGCCAGCGAUU
rnacentral:rRNA from 1 species